UGCGGGUAUUGCUAAACGGAUUUGGAACGGAUACGGGUAGUAAAAUUAAAACACUAAACGGAUUUGGGACGGGUUUGAAAAUUUUAUAUAUAAUCGAGUUUAAAUUUGGGUACUCCCAAUUUCGCGGGUACCCUACCCGUUGCCAUCCCUCGCUUACCUCUCAGAGAAUAAUAACUAUCUCAAGCCUACAUGAAGUGCAACUUCUUCACGUAGGCUUUUUUCAUGCCAAAAAAGGCCACAUGAAGAAGCUGGUUCACGCAAUAGAUUAUUACCGGCUCAUUUGACAGAAUUAAAGAUCAGAUUAAUAUGGAAAAUUCUGGGUGGCGAAACAAGGCACAUGCAUAGUUAGCCUAACCUGAAAUAGCAAAUAUGCUUUCAUACUUUUGUCAAUUUGCACACCUUGAGUAAAAGUCAUUAUGCAAAUUUAUUGAAAAUCAAAGAUCUAAUACAAUGUUCACUCUUUCUCUCGUUUCCAGAGAGAGUCGCUUCUGUCUAUGUUUUAGGAUUUUCUUUUAGGAGUAAGGCUCCUUUGUUUCUGCCGUUGAGCGGCCUUCCCCAUCCAGAAUAUGGGUUCACUCUCCCAUCUUUGGAUGGGUGUAAAUAUUUUUGUUGAUGUUGUUUUUUAGCAGAUUCGGCGGUUUUAAAGAGAGAGUGUUGUAGAUUUGCUCUGGUUCUUUGCUUUUUUACUUAUUUUCUGUUGGUUUUCUUGUUGCUGGUGUGUUGGGAUUUUGCAUACAGGUAUGGUUUCCCUCUCCUAGAAGAUCUUCUUGGUCUAUGUCGAAGCUUCAGUGAUAGGAGAUUAUAGUGCGGACGUUCACGGAGAUUUUCUGAAGCUCCCGGUCCGUUAAUGCCUAUAAGAGAGUGAGAUGGCCAGAGCUCUGCCUCCUCCCCAUCUCGGGUAGCCAUGGCACUGCAUGCAUCCAGUGACAAGCGUCAUCUCGGCAAUCUUCCCGUCGGCGAUGUGCGGCGCCUCUGUUUUAGUUUUUUCGGGGUUUCAUACUCGGGUCGAGGGAUCCGGUUGCUGUAAUCUGCUAAGAGUUUCUUUGUGGGCUUAUCUCUUGGGUUGUUUUUUUCUAUAGGCUUGGGCUGCUUUUCUUUUUUCUUUUAAGCUGUAUUUUUGGACCCUUAUUUCUGGGCUUAUGCCUUUCUGAAUGAAAUCUAAUUAUCUCUUAGCAAAAAAAUAAAAUAAAAUAUCUAUGCAC